rnacentral:lncRNA from 1 species
GCUCGCCGUAGCAGCGCGAGUAGGGGGCGGAGCCCGCCGCGUGCCCGGAAGCGCUCGAUUCCCCCCGCUGCCUUGAUGUGGCGCGUGCGGAGGGCUAGGAGCGCGCGGCUCAGGGGUGUCUCGUUGGUCGCUGGGUCCUUUUCCCCACCCAGAGCCUCCCCGGCCGCCGCCGCGAGCUGCGCGAGGCAGAACGAGAGCGAGUCCGUGAGGGUUGGCUUCGCAGCCGCCAUCUUGGCUCGGGCCUCAGACUCCGCCCCGCUUCUCGCCGCUGAUCCCAGGGAGCGGAACUGGAAGACAGGGAAAUCGUCGGGCACCGCCUCGCUGACGCUGUUUAGCGCCACCGCAGUGAUGCAAGUCGGAAGUUGUAGUUCUCGACCCCGGAAGUCUGUCCUUGCACACGAGGCGCGGCAGUACCUUAAUCGCAGCGCAUCCUGGGACGUGCGGGCGGUGCAUGAGGGAGAUGUGGUCCGCGUCGAGCUUCUCACGCCUACCUCGGGAAGCGCUGGAAACUCUUCCAGGGCCCUCCAGGUGGGCCAGGGCCUCCGAACAGCCCAGAAGUCCGACCACGGAGCCUUCGUGCCGUGCCCCGCCCCCGGCGUGCACUCGGCGGGGACCGCCUUUUCUCCUCUAGGCUCGCUUCGCUGCCCCCCAGCGGUGGUGCGGCCCGGCCUUGGGACGGACUCCGAGAACCCCGAGCCGGGCCGAAAGUGCGGGGUCCUGACCGCGCCGCAGACGGGGAGCCCUCGCUCGGUCAGAGGAAGAAGAGGGUUAAACCUACCGAGAACGUUCGCUGCCGCUUCCUAGAGUGACGGGCUUGUGGAAUUUUCCGUUUCCGGAGCUGGACCCCGGUGUCCCGAGUGUCCUCCGCUCUGGACGUGCUCGUGAGCUCAGGAGCUGGCAUCUAGGAAACGGGGAGUUCUUCACUCGCAGCGCAGUCGGCCGCGCCAGAAGAGGCGAGGGAGAAUCCGGACGGGGCGGGGCGGCGGGGGAGCGGGACAUUCGCGUCCCGGGGAGCCCCCAGGUCACCCCUGGAUUGCGAGGUGGCUCCGCCUGAGCAGCCCUUCCUGGUGUGGUCGGGGCAGCUGCCCGCCCGGAAAAUGGUCAGGCUCUAGCCCUGGGGAGGAAGAAGCCUUUGCCAAGAGCAACCGUCUACAAGCCCCAAAACCUGCGAGUGCCGGAAAUGUGGACUGACCACAGCCUGCCUCCCCGGCUUCAUUCACCACCAAGGCAGCCCCUCUGGUGACAAGCCUUACCGUUGUCCGGGUUAUGGCAGAAGCUUCCGAUGUGGCUCUGAUCUGGUUAAGCACCACUGGGUACACACCGGUGAAAAGCCGUACUCCUGCCCCGAGUGUGACCAUCGCUUCGGCCCUAUGCCUGUGCCUAGUGUGGUAAGACUUUCAGCGUCAGCUCCAACCUGAUCCAGCACCAGCGCGCUCACACCGCUAAAAGCCUUACCGCUGAGGGGACUGCGGCAAGAGUCUCAGCCUUGGCUCCACCCUGUUGCAGCACCUGCGCUCCACAUGGGUGAGAAGGCCUCUAAGUGCCUUGUUUGUAGUAAGAGUUUUGUGCACAGUUGGAAUCUGCUGCGGCACCAGCACAGUCACAAAGUCCGGAAACCUGAUGCUUGGUGGUGAGUGUGGCCAGACCUUCGGCCACAGCUCCCACCUGCCCAUCCACUAGGCGGCCCACAGCAGCACCCCUGCGUCUGCCUGCAGUGUGGCAGGGCCCUAGCGCAAAGCUCCAACCUGGGCCAGCACCAGCGGACGCACUAGGGCGGCAGCCUCUGCAAAUAGCCCUGGCUUCAAUUUUAGCUGAAACUUCAGCUCUGACUUUGGUUCGGACUUCAAGGAAAUGGAAGGAACCAGGAUCUCUAAGCAGACCCCCUUCUGCUCCCUUAGGGCUGUUGAUUUUAGAGCUAAUGAUGGGAUUCGGUUGGGGCGAGGGGGUCUCCACAUCUUUUUGCCCAACCCUUUGCUAAGUCAAGGAACCCCAGUCUGGGCUGGGCAUGGUGGCUCAUGCCUGUAAUCCCAGCACUUUGGGAGGCCAAGGUUAGCGGAUCACUGGAGGCCAGGAGUUCGAGACCAGCCUGGCCAACAUAUUGAAACCCUGUCUCUACUAAAAAAAAAAUGCUAGGCGUGUUGGCUCUCGCCUGUAAUCCCAGCUACUCGGGAGGCUGAGGCAGGAGACUCACUUGAACCCCGGGAGGCGGAGGCUGCAGUGAGCGAAGAUCGUGCCACUGCACUCCAGCCUGGGCGACAGAGAGUGUCUCAAAAAAAUAACAAAUUUAAAAAUUGUUUUUAACAAAGGAGCCCCAGUCUGGAAGAAUCAGAACACUAGAUCUGUGAUCACUGCCUUCAAAGAGCCCAGUCAGCUGAGAGGGCUUAGGUUUGUUCUUUGAAGUUACAAAGACAGAACGUCGACCAGCUGAAGGGAGAGUUUUGGAAUGGCGGGAGCUAUCCAGCGUGGACCCAGCUGCCUGCAGAUCUGGCAGUAGCUGACACAGUCCCUUCACAGGCCUAGGGAGUGAUGGGGUUAAUCACACCUAGAACAACAGCUACCUCUUCCCAGAGGAAUGGGACCAGAAAUCAGGCAAGCCCCUGUGAGGAGUUCCAUGGCAGCGCGCAGGCGGGGCAUUCCUAACCUCCAGAGGGAACCAUGAGGGAUCCUGUGUUCUGGCAGAUGGGCCAGAGAAUUUGAACUUGGGACCAUUGUGUGAGCCCUGGGUGUGUGAGCCCUUCAAAAGUCCUCUCAGCACGUGAGAACUAUCAUUAUGGAUGAUGCUAGGGUGGUGGGGGCCCCAGAACAGACCUGUAUGUUGAGUUCAGGGGUUGCUUUGUUGCAUUUCUGGGCAGGGGCAAGAGGCCCAGGGUUUGUCAUCUGCCCCUUCCCCUGCCUUAUCCCCUUCCCUUCCAAGUUCCCCAGGCUCCUUUUCUGCCAGUCUGUCAAGAGAGGGAAGAGUGGCGAAGAGUCCUUUGUGCCUGGACAUUGGGGACUGAACAUGGCCCUUUUGCCUGGGCAUUGCCCAAACAUAUAUUUCUACUGGCAUAACUUUGUGUAUGUGAGAGCCAGGGGUAGGCUUCCCAAAGCACCUGCCUGUGCUCAGAGUAGACACCAAGCUCUGAGGCCCUUCCCUUCCCUGCUGGGGGAGGGAGUUGUCUGUUUCAAGGACCUAAUGUCCACCCCUUGUGGGACAGUCCUACCAUCAGUCCAGGCAUCUGGUCUGCUGCCCCCAAAUUUUACCAUCUUUUUUUUUUUUUUUUUUUUUUUUUUUUGAGACGGAGUCUCACUCUGUUGCCCAGGCUGGAGUGCAGUGGCACGAUCUCAGCUCACUGCAACCUCCGCCUCCUGGGUUAAAGUGAUUCUCCUGCCUCAGCCUCCCGAGUAGCUGGGACCACAGGCUUGCGCCACGAUGCCAGCCAGUGUUUGUAUUUUUAGUAGAGGGUUUCACCAACCCUCUACUAAAGACCAGCCUCUAGUUGGUCAGGCUGGUCUCGAACUCCUGACCUCAAGUGAUCCAUCCGCCUCAGCCCCCCAAAGUGCUAGGAUUACAGGCAUGAGCCACCACGCCCGGUAAUUUUGCCAUCUUUUAUCAGGCUUUCUGUGUCGAGGACGCUACCCACAUAGAGUAGAACCUAAAGGGAAGGGAUGUGAAGUGACCUCACCCUCAGCUUCUAGCUCAUGGUGUCAAGGCUUGUGUGAUCUUAGACACGUCUGCCUCUUCUGAGCCUGUUUCUUCAUCUGUAAAACAGGGAUGGGAGGUUGUGGUAAAGAUUCCACAGCAACACUGCACACGCAUGAAGUACCUGGGCCAGGGAUGACUCGGCAGACCUCAGUUUCCCUCUGCCUCCUGCCUAGAGCUGUUAGCAAGCAUCCAUCAUGCGGCUCACACAAGAGCUCCCCCCGGAGGUUACAGAAAUGAAGGCAGCAGCCCCAGUCCUUGGGUAGCCUGUUUCCCCUUGAAGGAAACAGACUCAAUAUCAGCAACACAGAGUGAAUGACGCCAGGGUGGCGAACGGGCCUUUCCUGGAGCAAAUGCGGGAGGCUUCAUGGAGAUGACGUGUAAUGAACAGCACUCAUCUCAGGCUGGGAGCAGCACAUGCCCCCGGCAGGGAGUCAGUGAUGAGGUAUGGGGUUCUUGACAUCUUCCUCACCCAGGACCCUUCAGAGAGUACGAGCCAGGGUUUGAGUGAAGGGCCUGAGCCCAGCACAUGCAUGGUAGGCACUCAAAGAAUAAUUGUCAUGAUCAGGUCCUUUUUACACUGCUUACUAGUGGCCUUUAAGCCUCAGUUUCCUCACAGUUGCCUUGAGUGAGUGUCAAGUGUUGUAGACCUCUGCAAAAUUCAUAACUGCUUAAGAAUAUUAGGUAUGGGUAGAGUAGGCUUGGAAGGAGGAUUGGUUUGCAGAAUCCCUUUCAGAGACCUGUAAUCUAAUUUCUCACAUUAGGGCUAAUACUCCUGGGACCCCUCUCCUCUCCAAUUGCAUAAAACAGGUUCUGACCAGAACAGCGAGGCAGGCCAGACCUCAGAAGCAGAGGGACGGGCUUAAUCUAACAGGAGUUUAUCCCAUGUCCUGCAUCCACUGUACCCUGUGCUGGGUUUAGAAGUAGCUUCACUGUCCAAGCUUGUGACCCAGUGCCCAAGCCCGAGAUGGGAAACACAUUUGUUUUGGCUGUGUGUGUGUGUGUGUGUGUGUGUGUGUGUGUGUGUGUGUGUUUUCAAACAAGCCAAGAUUUUUACUUUUUGAGUUCCAUUUUGUUGCCCAGGCUGGUCUCUGAAACUUCCAGGCUCAAGCAAUCCCCCUGCCUCAGCCUCCCAAAAUGCUGGAAUUACAGGUGUGAGCUACCAUGCCCAUUUAUUUAUUUAUUUAUUUAUUUAUUUAUUUUUGAGACAGAAUCUCACUCUGUCAUCCAGGCUGGAGUGCAGUGGUGCAAUUGUGGCUCACUGUAGCCUCAACCUCCUGGGCUCAAGUGAUCCUCCCACCUUAACCUCCCAAGGAGCUGGGACUACAGGCAUACACCACCACACCUGGCUAAUUUUUUGAUUUUUAAAAAAUGUUUUGUAGAGACGGGGUCUCACUGUGUUGCCCAGGCUGGUCUUGAACUCCUGAGUUCAAGUGUUCCUCUGGUCUCAGCCUCCCAAAAUGCUGGGAUUACAGAUGUGAGCCACCUAACCUGGUCUUUUUAUUUUUUUAAAGAGCCAACAUUUAAAUAAGGAGAUUUCACAUCACAGUCGAUUUCUGGGGCUUGGUUUGUUGUUGUUUUUUUUGUUUUUUUUUUUUUUUAAUUGAGACAGGAUCUUGCCAGGUUGCAGACUGGUCUUGAACUCCUAGGCUCAAAUGAUCCCCUCCUGGCCGGGCACGGUGGCUCACGCCUGUAAUCCCAGCACUUUGGGAGGCCUAGGUGGGCGGAUCACGAGGUCAGGAGAUCGAGACCUUCCUGGCUAACAAGGUGAAAUCCUGUCUCUACUAAAAAUACAAAAAAUUAGCUGGAAAUGGUGGCAGGCGCCUAUAGUUCCAGCUACUCAAGAGGCUGAGGCAAGAGAAUGGCAUGAACCCAGGAGGCAGAGCUUGCAGUGGGCGGAGAUCCUGUCACUGCAAUCCAGCCUGGGUGACAGAGCAAGACUCCGUUUCAAAAAAAAAAAGAAAAGAUCCCCUGCCCCGGCCCUUCCCUCCCCCACCCACCUCGGCUUCCGAAAGUGGUAGGAUUACAGGCGUCAGUCACCACACCCGGCCUGCUUUAUUAUUUAUAUCAGAAGAUGCUGCAACAUUGGAUUUUUAUGGCAGCAGUUCGUUGAGUAGUGGCUGUCCUGGACAUAGGAACAGGGACACUCCCUCUUGCAUCCCUGACUCAGCACGUUUCAUAUGUGUUACUUGCCUGUCCCCUGCAGAAAAGUACUUGAGGUUACAGUCUCCAUCCCACCCCACUGUGGGUGAGAAGGACCUUUCCAUGCAGUGAAGGCACUUUUCCCCUUUCCUUCACCCCUUCCUGUUCCCUUCUCUGCCGUUUUCCUUCUUCUCCCCCAGAACUCCUCUGUGAAAUACCUGGCCUCCUUCCCUGAGCCUCCCUGUCUCCCUGCCACCCCAUCUCCACUCCGUGCUAUGACAUCACCCCGUAAUUUGAAGCUCCUUUCCCUAUCUGAAGGGAGGCAGAGACAGAGUGCACAGGCUCAACUAGGCAAGGCAGACCCUUGCAUGCCUGGGUCAGAGGUCAGGGUCUCUGGCACACAUUCCUCCCAGAGCAACUGUAGGAAGCAAGCCAGUACAGAGGUACUCUAAGCGCUAGACAGGACGGGGUGGGAGUCGGUAACAUCGUCUCCUCUGGGCUGGCCCUGCUUCUGCUUAGCUCUGGGCAUAAGACUGACUCCAGUACAGUCACAGUUAUGUCUCUGAGCUCACCCAGUCCUGGGUUCCAGGUUCCCAGCUCUGAGCCUGGCGAGACACACACAGGCUGGUGCUGUGGGAUGUCUUGGUACGGUGGCUCACGCCUGUAUUCCCAGCGCUUUGGGAGGCCGAGGUGGGCAGAUCACCUGAGGUCAGGAGUUCGAGACCAGGCUGCCCAACGUGGUGAAACCCUGUCUCUACCAAAAAUAUAAAAAUUAGCCAGGCAUGGUGGCACGUGCCUGUAAUCCCAGCUACUUGGGAGGUUGAGGCAGGAAAAUUGCUUGAACCCAGGAGGUGGAGGUUUCAGUGAGCCAAGAUCGUGCCACUGCACCCCAGUUUGGAUGAAAGAGUGAGACUCCGUUUCAAAAAAAAAACAAAAAAAACAAAACCAAAAAAUAAAAAAACACAUCAGCUUGACAUUUUGGAGGCAUUCCCAGACUCAGGGUUAGUCAGCAGAUUAGCAUUUAAAAGAAAGUCUUGUCCCUACAGAUUCCCUGACCUCAGCUACCCAUGAAGGGUGGGAAGAGGAGUCCUUAGCAAGAAGUCCAGGAAGUUGACAACCUCCUCAGACCUGAUAGGACACUCCUCUCUCCACCCUGCCUCCUGACUGAUUUAAUCUCAGGGGUGUGAGGACCUCUGAGAUAGGCCCCAGGAGUCUCACCCGCACCACUUAUGUCUCAGGGCUAACCAGAGACUCCCUGAAACAGAUCCUAGAGGAUUCCCAAGUGAUAGGAUAAAUAGAGAGGUACUGAGACUUCCUGGCGUGGGUGACCUCUCCCAGGCUGGCCAACCUCCCCCAUUCAGAAAUUUGCUGAGCACCAGGAGUGAAUGAAGUAAAGGAAGCCCCUAGGAGUUCAAGAAGCAGAGAUUUCCAGGUCCAUGCACCAAAGCUCAUGUGCUCAAUUCUCAGGAAAGGCCUCACUCAGUUAAAAAAUUUUGUAUCAUGAAAGGGUAAAUGAAUUAAUUAGUGAAUCUGGUUUCUAAGCCAAUGGCUUACUAGAAAUAUUAUAGUAAAUCAGAAAAAAAAAAAAAGGCGGUGGCUCACACCUAUAAUCCCAGCACUUUGAGAGGCUGAGGUGAGAGGAUGCUUUGAGCCCAGGAGUUCGAGACUAGCCUGGGCAACAUAGCAAACCCCAUCUCUAGAAAAAAUUAAAAAACCAGCCAGGUGUGGUGAUGUUCACUGUAGUCCCAGCUAUUCAGGAGGCUGAGGCAGGAGGACCGCUUGAGCCCAGGAAUUUGAGACUGCAGUGAGCUAGGAUUGUGCCACUGCACCCCAGCCUGGGCAACAGAGUGAGACCCUGUCUCUAAAAAAAUAAUUUUUUUUAAAGAUAAUUCUUCAAAGGAGAUCCGCUCUUCCUUUCCUACACCCAUUCCCUUUCCUCCCUUUCCUGAACAAUGCUGUCUUACAGCCUCUAGGGGCAGGCAGAGCCAAAGAGGCCUCUGCCGGGUGUGGGGAGUGAGACGCAGCAGGCCAGAGCAUGUAUCAGAGCUCCAGCAGGUGGGGGAGGGUGUCCACACGAGAAGGUGGCCUGGCUUGGCAUGGCAGAACCUGAUAGGAUUAGGAAGGCAUCAGCCACGGGAAGGAGAUGGCGAGAGAGAUAAGAAACUGCUUCCACCAGCUAUUGGUCAAAUAAGUACACAUUUGAAAGAUAACAGCCAGGUUUCUCAGUGUCAGAGAAAACCGAGACACAGCUCGGGAAAGGGAGAAAAUGUGGGUGGGGAGACCCUUGUGGUGUCGAAUUGGAACUGGAGGUAUAGGAGUAGACUCAGGAUUUUCAGAAAGUGUUUAGAUAGACAUAGAAAUUAGUAUGGGUGUGUAUAUGUGUAUGUGCACGCAGAUGUGUGUAAAUGUCCAUAUAUUCCCUAGCUCUGGAAAGCCCUGGAGCAGUGCCAUCCCAAUAACAAAAAGCUUUUUAUGGUUUUUUGAGAUAGGGUCUCUCCCUCACCCAGGCUGGGGUGCAGUGGUGCGACCACAGCCCACUGCAGCCUCGACUUCCUGGGCUCAGGUGAUCCUCCUGUGUCAGCCUCCCAAGUAGCUGGGACUACAGGCAUAUGCCACCACACCCAGCUAAUUUUUAAUUUUUUUUUUUUGUAGGGACGGGUCUUGCUACGUUGCCCAGGAUGGUCCUGAACUCCUGGGCUCAAGCAAUCCUCCCACCUCAGUCUCCCAAAGUGCUGGGACUACAGGUGUAACAGUUUUAAGGUAAUCAGAAUCAAGAAAUGAUUGAGGUGAUGCUCUGGAAUAAUGGGGACUAGAGAGUCGUGACAACUAAAUGCAAUGUGUGGUGUGGUAGCAUUUUUCUGGGCUGUAGUCCCUAGAUGGGUAGAGAAGAAAGCCCCGGAGAGGGUGAAGAGGUGGGGAUGUGGAAGACGUCAGAGAGAGCACAGGGCAGAGCGCAGAGAACUGCAUCCACAGGCCUCGCCAUGCCCCCAGCAUGGCUGCACCACACCAGCAGAUGCCUUCGCUUCCCAGCAGUGGACACAGGUCACUGGAUCCUCACAAAUGAGCAGCCAGGAGAAUGUUUGCAGCCUGGAGAUUCGGGGCUUUGUCAGCACCUUGGGAAGGUUUUGUUCUUGGGUUUUGGGUUUUUGGUUUUUGGAUUUUUUUGGUAACAAUAUCGCUAUAUUUAUUCUCCUGCAGUACACUUUUAAAUUGCUUCAACAUUUUCCCCUUAAAAUAAAAAAGAACAACAACAAAAAAAUUCCAAACCUUAGAAUUGAAAUAUUUGGCCUUUUCUCUCUCUCUUUUUUUUUUUUUUUUUUUUUUUUGAGAUGGAAUCUCGCUCUGUCGCCUAGGCUGGAGAGCAGUGGCGCGAUCUCAGCUCACUGCAACUUCUACCUCCUGGGAUCAAGCGAUUCUCCUGCCUUACCCUCCUGAGUAGCUGGGACCACAGGCGCAUGCCACCAUACCAGGCUAGUUUUUUUUUGUUUUGUUUUGUUUUGUUUUGUUUUGUUGGUAUUUUUAGUAGAGACGGGGUUUCACCGUGUUAGCCAGGAUGGUCUCGAUCUCCUGACCUCGUGAUCCGCCUGCCUCGGCCUCCCAAAGUGCUGGGAUUACAGGUGUGAGCCAGUGCACCUGGCCUUGGCCCUUUCUCUUUUUAUUUCCUCGCAGUUCUCUCCCUUUUUUAAAAAAAAUAAUAAUAAAUUGAAUUUAUAAAUAGAGGCAAGGUCUUGUUAUGUUGCCCAGGCUGGUCUCGAACUCCUAGGCUCGAGGGAUCCUCCCACCUUGGCCUCUCAAAGUGCUGGAUUACAUGUGUGAGCCACCCCACCUGGCCCCAGCUCUCUUAAUUGCCAGCACUCCUCUUGGAAGUCCCUCAUCUUGAUUACCUUAUUUAAGGUCACCUCCUCACAGGCCCUAUCUUUUUUUUUUUUUUUUUUUUUUGAGAGGGAGUUUCGUUGCUUUUGCCCAGGCUGCAGUGCAAUGGCGUGGUCUCGGCUCACUGCAACAUCCAUCUCCUGGGUUCAAGCCAUUCGCCUGCCUCAGCCUCCCAAGUAGCUGAGAUUACAGACAUCUGCCACCACACCUGGCUAAUUUUUUGGAAUUUUUAGUAGAGACGGUGUUUCACCUUGUUGGCCAGGCUGGUCUUGAACUCCUGACCUCAGGUGAUCUGCUUGCCUUGACCUCCCAAAGUUCAGGGAUUACAGGCGUGAGGCACCAUGCCCAGCCAGUCCCUGUCUUCAAAUACAGUCACACUGGGGGUUAAACAAUGUAUAAAUUUGGGGGCGAUACAAACAUUCAGUCCAUAACACCCCCUAUACCCCAACCCUAGGCAACCACUAAUCUACAUCUUAUCUCUACAGAUGACCUAUUCUGGACAUGUCAUAUAAAUGGAAUCAUACAAUGUGUGGUCAUUCGUGUCUGGCUUCUUUCAUAUAGCAUAAUGUUAUCAAGGUUCAUCCACACUGUAGUAUCUCAUUUCUUUUUAUUAGGAAUAAUACAGUUUCACUUUAUGGAUUGCUGUGGUUUGAACCUGUCCCCUAAAGUUCAUGUGUUGGAAACUUAACCUCCAAUUCAACUGUUGAGAGGUGGGAACUUUAAGAAGUGAUUAGGUUAUGUGAGCUCUUCCCUCAUGAAUGGAUUAAUGGCAUUAUUGCAUGAGUAGGUUAGUUAUCAAGGGAGUGGACAGCUGAUAGAUAAAUGGAUGGGUUCUGCCCCCACCCACCCCCUCUCUUGCACUGUCUUGCCCUUCCGCUUUCUGCUGUGGGAUGAGGCAGAAAGAAGGCCCUCACCAGAUGCAGGGCCCUUGACCUUCGACUUCCCAACCUCUAGAACUGAAAGAAAGAUAUUUCUAUUCUUUAUAAAUUAUCCAGCCUUAGGCAUUCUACGAUGCAGCACAAAACAGACUAAGACAUGGAUAUGCCACUUUCUUCAAUCAUCAGUUGACAGACAUUUGGGUUGUUUCCACUCGGGCUAUUAUGAAUAAUGCUGCUAUGAAUACUCACGUACAAGGUUUUUGUGGAAUAUGCUUUUAUUUCUUUUGGUUACAUAUCUAGAAGGGAAAUUGCUGGAUCAUAUAACUCUAUGUUUAAACAUCUGAGGAACUGCCAGACCAUUUUCCAAAGUUAAUGAAUGAUUUUACGUUCCAACCAGCCAUGUGUGAGGGUUCCAAUCUCUCCACAUUCUCACAAAAACUUGUUAAUUAACUGUCUUUUCAGCUUUUUUUUUUUUGAGUCGGAAUCUCACUCUGUCACCAGGCUGGAGUGCAGUGGCGUGAUCUCAGCUCACUGCAACCUACGCC